UUACAUGGAAGAGACAACUUAGAGCUAUUGUAACUUUGUCACUAAUAAUAUCGUUUUUGGGGAUAUCAUACUGUAUACUAUAUUCAAUAUUACUUUACUCUGACUCUAGGGUGAACUUUGUAUCGUAUUGAUAAACUAUUAUUGACUUUAUUUGAGUAGAUAUCGGAAUGGAGGUCAUUUUGGAGCCUGGACAGGUAUAAGGUACCAGAAUUUGUAAAAUUUUUCGGUGGUUAGUUUCUGAGAAUGGGUCUUUCCAACAGAUGUUCAAAUUGACACCAGCUUCGGAAAGUACAAAACGCGAUCUUUCAUUUUGAUACUGCAAAUUUACUCGUAAGACGCAACUUUACCUUACUGCAAUUUUGUCAACAAUAGCAGGAUUCCCAGAAACAUUUUGGAUGGACUCAAAGUAAUUACGAAUUAGCUGCCAAAAAAUAUAAUGCUACAGUAUUAAUCUUAUUUUUGCGUAUAUCGGUGUGGAGCAUAUUUUGAGUCCUAGAUAUCGUAUAGAGAGAGAGAUAUCACCAUGAUUAUUUAGUAAGCAGUUCCCGAUGAUGGCCCCGCCUCUUUACAACUGAUACCAAAACGAAUACUUGCUGGGGAAAGUACUAAUUGAGAGUUGAUAUCUCACAUACACUAUAUGGAUUUAUUAAA